AUUGAACGCUGGCGGCAGGCUUAACACAUGCAAGUCGAGCGAGCGGCGGACGGGUGAGUAAUGUCUGGGAAACUGCCUGAUGGAGGGGGAUAACUACUGGAAACGGUAGCUAAUACCGCAUACCAUCAGAUGUGCCCAGAUGGGAUUAGCUAGUCGGUGGGGUAAGGGCUCACCUAGGCGACGAUCCCUAGCUGGUCUGAGAGGAUGACCUGCAACACUGGAACUGAGCCACGGGCCAGACUCCUAGGUGAGGCAGCAGUGGGAAAUAUUGCACAAUGGGCGCAAUCCUGAUGCAGCCAUGCCGCGUGUGUGAAGAAGGCCUUCGGGUUGUAAAGCACUUUCAUCGAGGAGGCGUUACUCGCAGAAGAAGCACCGGCUAACUCCGUGCCAGCAGCCGCGGUAAUUC
rnacentral:rRNA from 1 species